AGUGAACGCUGGCGGCGUGCCUAAUACAUGCAAGUCGAACGAGUGGCGCACGGGUGAGUAAUUUCUGGGAAACUGCCUGAUGGAGGGGGAUAACUACUGGAAACGGUAGCUAAUACCGCAUACCAUCAGAUGUGCCCAGAUGGGAUUAGCUAGUAGGUGGGGUAAUGGCUCACCGAGGCGACGAUCCCUAGCUGGUCUGAGAGAAUGACCAGCCACAAUGGAACUGAGAAACGGUCCAGAUACCGACGGGAGGCAGCAGUGGGAAAUAUUGGACACUGGGCGCAAGCUGGAUGCGGAAAUGCCGCGUGUGUGAAGAAGGCAUUCGGGUUGUAAAGCACUGUCAACGAGGAGGCGUUACUCGGAGAUGAAGCACCGGCUAAAUACGUGCCAGCAGCAGCGGUAAUAC
rnacentral:rRNA from 1 species